rnacentral:rRNA from 1 species
UACGGAGGGUGCGAGCGUUGUUCGGAAUCACUGGGCGUAAAGGGCGUGUAGGCGGUCCGCUAAGUCUGAUGUGAAAGCCCGGGGCUCACCCCCGGAAGUGCAUUGGAAACUGGCGGACUCGAGUCCCGGAGAGGAGAGUGGAAUUCCUGGUGUAGCGGUGAAAUGCGUAGAUAUCGGGAGGAACACCGGUGGCGAAGGCGGCUCUCUGGACGGUGACUGACGCUGAGACGCGAAAGCGUGGGGAGCAAACAGG